rnacentral:ncRNA from 20 species
GUUGACCUCGGAUCAGGUAGGGAUACCCG